GUGCUCACUUUGGCAGCACAUAUACUAAAAUUGGAACGAUACAGAGAAGAUUAGCAUGGCCCCUGAGAAAGAAAGAACUUAGAUUAAGGGGAAAGAAAAAUUCUC
rnacentral:snRNA from 1 species